UACGUAGGGAGCAAGCGUUGUCCGGAAUCAUUGGGCGUAAAGCGCGCGUAGGUGGCUUCGUAAGUCCGUUGUGAAAGUCAAAGGCUCAACCUUUGAAAGCCGAUGGAUACUGUGGAGCUAGAGUACGGAAGAGGCGAGUGGAAUUCCUGGUGUAGCGGUGAAAUGCGCAGAUAUCAGGAGGAACACCGGUGGCGAAGGCGGUGCUCUGGGCCGGAACUGACGCUGAGGAGCGAAAGCGUGGGGAGCGAACAGG
rnacentral:rRNA from 1 species